rnacentral:rRNA from 1 species
CUACGGGAUGCUGCAGUAAGGAAUAUUGCGCAAUGGAGGCAACUCUGACGCAGCCAUGCCGCGUGCAGGAAGAAGGCCUUAUGGGUCGUAAACUGCUUUUAUUUAGGAAUAAACCCCCGAACGUGUUCGGGGCUGAAGGUACUAAACGAAUAAGCACCGGCUAACUCCGUGCCAGCAGCCGCGGUAAUACGGAGGGUGCAAGCGUUAUCCGGAUUUAUUGGGUUUAAAGGGUGCGCAGGCGGGCUAUUAAGUCAGUGGUGAAAUCCCGGGGCUCAACUCCGGAACUGCCAUUGAUACUGAUAGUCUUGAGUUUGGUUGAAGUGGGCGGAAUGUAGCAUGUAGCGGUGAAAUGCAUAGAUAUGCUACAGAACACCAAUCGCGAAGGCAGCUCACUAAGCCAAAACUGACGCUCAUGCACGAAAGCGUGGGGAUCAAACAGGAUUAGAUACCCCGGUAGUC